GCGAGGGUAGUUCAGUGGCAGAAUGUCUCCUUGCCAAGGAGAAGGUCGCGGGUUCAACUCCCGUCCCUCGCU
rnacentral:tRNA from 1 species